rnacentral:rRNA from 1 species
GCUGGCGGCAGGCCUAACACAUGCAAGUCGAGCGGCAGCACAGCAGUAGCAAUACUGUGGGUGGCGAGCGGCGGACGGGUGAGGAACACAUCGGAAUCUACCCUGUCGUGGGGGACAACGUAGGGAAACUUACGCUAAUACCGCAUACGACCUUUGGGUGAAAGUGGGGGACUCGCAAGAGCCUCACGCGAUUGGAUGAGCCGAUGUCCGAUUAGCUAGUUGGCGGGGUAAUGGCCCACCAAGGCGACGAUCGGUAGCUGGUCUGAGAGGACGACCAGCCACACUGGAACUGAGACACGGUCCAGACUCCUACGGGAGGCAGCAGUGGGGAAUAUUGGACAAUGGGGGCAACCCUGAUCCAGCCAUGCCGCGUGGGUGAAGAAGGCCUUCGGGUUGUAAAGCCCUUUUGUACGGGAAGAAAAGCCAGUGGCGAAUAUCCGCUGGUCAUGACGGUACCGUAAGAAUAAGCACCGGCUAACUUCGUGCCAGCAGCCGCGGUAAUACGAAGGGUGCAAGCGUUACUCGGAAUUACUGGGCGUAAAGCGUGCGUAGGUGGUGAGUUAAGUCUGAUGUGAAAUCCCCGGGCUCAACCUGGGAAUGGCAUUGGAUACUGGCUCGCUAGAGUGCGGUAGA